rnacentral:rRNA from 1 species
CACGCCGCGUGAGUGAUGAAGGUUUUCGGAUCGUAAAGCUCUGUUGUUAGGGAAGAACAAGUACCGUUCGAAUAGGGCGGUACCUUGACGGUACCUAACCAGAAAGCCACGGCUAACUACGUGCCAGCAGCCGCGGUAAUACGUAGGUGGCAAGCGUUGUCCGGAAUUAUUGGGCGUAAAGGGCUCGCAGGCGGUUUCUUAAGUCUGAUGUGAAAGCCCCCGGCUCAACCGGGGAGGGUCAUUGGAAACUGGGGAACUUGAGUGCAGAAGAGGAGAGUGGAAUUCCACGUGUAGCGGUGAAAUGCGUAGAGAUGUGGAGGAACACCAGUGGCGAAGGCGACUCUCUGGUCUGUAACUGACGCUGAGGAGCGAAAGCGUGGGGAGCGAACAGGAUUAGAUACCCUGGUAGUCCACGCCGUAAACGAUGAGUGCUAAGUGUUAGGGGGUUUCCGCCCCUUAGUGCUGCAGCUAACGCAUUAAGCACUCCG